rnacentral:rRNA from 1 species
AACUGGGGAUAAUACCGGAUAGGCAAUUAUUCCUGUAAUGGUUUUUUGUUUAAAUGUUUUUUCGCCUAAGGAUGAGUCUGCGGCCGAUUAGGUAGUUGGUUAGGUAAUGGCUUACCAAGCCGUUGAUCGGUACGGGUUGUGAGAGCAAGAGCCCGGAGAUGGAACCUGAGACAAGGUUCCAGGCCCUACGGGGUGCAGCAGGCGCGAAACCUCCGCAAUGUGAGAAAUCGCGACGGGGGGAUCCCAAGUGCCAUUCUUAACGGGAUGGCUUUUCAUUAGUGUAAAGAGCUUUUGGAAUAAGAGCUGGGCAAGACCGGUGCCAGCCGCCGCGGUAACACCGGCAGCUCUAGUGGUAACAAUUUUUAUUGGGCCUAAAGCGUCCGUAGCCGGUUUAAUAAGUCUCUGGUGAAAUCCUGUAGCUUAACUGUGGGAAUUGCUGGAGAUACUAUUAGACUUGAGACCGGGAGGGGUUAGAGGUACUCCCAGGGUAGAGGUGAAAUUCUGUAAUCCUGGGAGGACCGCCUGUUGCGAAGGCGUCUAACUGGAACGGUUCUGACGGUGAGGGACGAAAGUUAGGGGCGCGAACCGGAUUAGAUACCCGGGUAGUCCUAACUGUAAACGAUGCGGACUUGGU